rnacentral:rRNA from 1 species
AUGCCACAGUCCGUCCUGGUCGAUCGCGCGACCAGCGAGUCGCUCAUCGGGCCCGACUGGUCCCUCAACCUCGAGAUCUGCGACAUCCUCAACCACGACCCCUCGCAAGCUAAAGAUGUAGUCAAGUCUAUCAAGAAGCGGAUUGGACACAAGAAUUCAAAGAUCCAGCUCCUCGCACUAACACUGCUGGAGACGCUGAUUAAAAAUUGUGGAGAUUUUGUUCACAUGCAUGUUGCUGAGAGAGAUAUACUCCAUGAAAUGGUGAAGAUUGUUAAGAAAAAGCCUGAUUAUCAUGUAAAAGAGAAGAUACUCAUUUUGAUUGACACCUGGCAAGAAGCUUUUGGUGGUGCUCGUGCAAGAUAUCCACAAUAUUAUGCGGCAUAUCAAGAACUGCUGCGUGCUGGAGCCGUAUUUCCUCAAAGGUCAGAGAGUUCUGUGCCAAUCUAUACUCCACCACAAACUCAACCUCUACAGAACUACCCUCCUCCUGCUUUACGUAAUACUGAUUAUCGGCAAGAGGCACCCGAAUCAUCUUCAGUGCCAGAAGUAUCUACACUAAGUGCGACAGAAAUUCAGAAUGCAAGUGGCGUCAUGGAUGUUCUCUCAGAGAUGUUAAAUGCUAUUGAUCCUGGUAACAGAGAGGGUCUAAGGCAGGAGGUCAUUGUGGACCUUGUGGACCAAUGUCGUUCUUACAAGCAGAGAGUGGUUCAGCUCGUCAACACGACCUCCGAUGAAGAGCUGCUAAGCCAGGGCCUUUCAUUGAAUGAUGAUUUGCAGCGUGUUCUAGCAAAACAUGAUGCAAUUGCUGCAGGCAUAGCUGUUCGGGUAGAAAAGCCAAAACCACCACAGGCCCCUGCAAAUAGUUCCCCACCAGCAAAGCCAGAGGGGCCAAAAGAGCCAACUCAAAGGUUGUCUUCUGAAGCUGCUGGUAAGGUUUCUCCAUUUGAGCAAUUAGCACUUCCUGCUCCUCCAUCAUCCAGCACCUCAAAGCCUCCUGGAGAAGCAUCUGUUGGCCCUAGUAUUGACCUACUCAGUGGAGAUGAUUAUUUCAAGCCAGAACCUGUGAAUUCCCAAGCACUUGUUCCUGUUGGCAAUUCCCCUGCAGCUUCUGCUUCAGGCCACAAUACCUUAGAUCUUGUAGACAUGUUUUCGCAAAGCGAUGCUAGCAAUAACAAUCACAACCCUGUUAUAUCGUCCCCAAUAUUGAACUCAAACCCUAAUCUCUCGGCACCACAAGCAUAUCCUGCUCCACAGCAUCCUGUUCCACCACAGCAGUCUUCAUUUUCCAAUGGGUUGACCUCCAAUACGAUCCCAACUUAUGGUCAAGGUCCUGACCUAAACUCAGCAAGUUCGUGGAAUGGGCAGCUUGCUCAAGGAAUGAAUCAACCACAGCAGGCACCAAAUUAUGGUCAAGAUGAUCAAAGCAGCGACCUACCACCACCACCCUGGGAAACUCAGCCUGCAGAAAGCGAUCAGUUCCAAGCUGGCCAACCUGACAACAGGUUGGCAAUGCCACCAGGACAAUUCGGAGGCAUUCCACCCCAACCUGUUCAAGUUGGUCAGCCUGGGCAGGUUUCACUGUCGCAACCAUUGCUGACUGGACAACCAGGCGGGAUGCAGUUUCCACCAGGAUAUGUGGAGCAGCCUGGGGCUCAACAUCCGCAAUCAAUGCCAAACACGCAAUAUGGGGGCAUGUAUCCUUCAAUGCAAGGCAACCAAGCAGGCGGCAUGUAUCCCCAACAGAUGGCAGGAGAUAUCUACCAGCAACAGAUGUAUGGUGGGCAGAUGGCGGCCGGCUAUGGCUAUGGUCAGCAGCCUGGAGGCUACUAUGUCCCAAAUGCUGCAUACGGGUAUCCCAGUGCAAACGACCUUUCUCAGAGAAUGAACGGACUUGCCAUGCAAAACAACGGCUUAUAUGGCACACCUGCGUCUUCUUCCCUUCAGCAGGCUAAUAGGCCAGCAAGACCCGAAGAUUCACUCUUUGGUGAUCUGGUUAGCAUUGCCAAAACAAAGCCUAGCAAAACUGCAGCUAAUAAGGCCGGUGGCUUGUAA